GAGCCAUUAGCUCAGUUGGUAGAGCAAUUGACUUUUAAUCAAUGGGUCCCGCGUUCGAGUCGCGGAUGGCUCACCA
rnacentral:tRNA from 3 species